rnacentral:rRNA from 1 species
GAAUUUAAUAUUAUUUGUUAAGAUAAGGGAUAUUUAAGGGAUAAUAUUUUAUUGGGAGGAUAGUUAAAUUUAUAAAACUUUAAGUGAAAUUUGAAUAUAAAUUGGUAAAUUUUAGAGUGAUUUGUAAAUUGAUAAAGAAUUAAUUACCUUAGGGAUAACAGCGUAAUAUUUUUGAAGAGUUCAUAUUGAUAAAAAUGUUUGC